rnacentral:rRNA from 1 species
CUGCGACACACCUCUCUCUCUCUUAUCCUUUUCUCCGUUCCCCACCCUCGCGCAUGGGACAGAGGGAGAGAGCUCUUGCGAAGACGGCCAGGCGGUCGGCGACGAGCCAGUCGGCGAUAAGAUGACCUGCGCCGUACCCAAGUGUGCGAUGCCUGGGAGAGGAGGCGUAGGCGGCGGAGACGAGGAGCGGGAGGAGGCAUGCGGCGAUGCCGUGAUUCGAAUCUUCGACGGUGGCGGACGGAGGCAGUACUCGGCGACGAUGCUGGUGCGCAGCGCCGUGUUGGCGGUGGCGGAGAUAGCCUAGCGCGCGUGGUGGUUGCCGGUCACCGUGGCCGAGGUGCUGGGCGGUGGAGAUUUGUGGGCUCGUCGUCCCCGCCGGCCGUCGCGCCGCCGCCGGUCUAAUAGGCCGCCUCCCGCGUGCCCUCCACUUGAA